rnacentral:rRNA from 1 species
UGGGGAAUAUUGCGCAAUGGGCGAAAGCCUGACGCAGCGACUCCGCGUGAGGGAUGAAGGUUUUCGGAUCGUAAACCUCUGUCAGAAGGGAAGAAACCGCACUGUGCUAAUCAGCAGUGCCUUGACGGUACCUUCAAAGGAAGCACCGGCUAACUCCGUGCCAGCAGCCGCGGUAAUACGGAGGGUGCAAGCGUUAAUCGGAAUUACUGGUCGUAAAGCGCACGUAGGCUGCUUUGUAAGUCAGGGGUGAAAUCCCACGGCUCAACCGUGGAACUGCCUUUGAUACUGCUUAGCUUGAAUCCGGGAGAGGGUGGCGGAAUUCCAGGUGUAGGAGUGAAAUCCGUAGAUAUCUGGAGGAACAUCAGUGGCGAAGGCGGCCACCUGGACCGGUAUUGACGCUGAGGUGCGAAAGCGUGGGGAGCAAACAGG